UACGUAGGGGGCAAGCGUUGUCCGGAUUUAUUGGGCGUAAAGCGCGCGCAGGCGGUAUCUUAAGUCUGAUGUGAAAGCCCACGGCUCAACCGUGGAGGGUCAUUGGAAACUGGGAGACUUGAGUGCAGAAGAGGAAAGUGGAAUUCCAAGUGUAGCGGUGAAAUGCGUAGAGAUUUGGAGGAACACCAGUGGCGAAGGCGACUUUCUGGUCUGUAACUGACACUGAGGCGCGAAAGCGUGGGGAGCAAACAGG
rnacentral:rRNA from 1 species